rnacentral:rRNA from 1 species
UACGUAGGUGGCAAGCGUUGUCCGGAAUCAUUGGGCGUAAAGCGCGCGUAGGCGGUCAGGUAAGUCCGGUGUGAAAGUCAAAGGCUCAACCUUUGAAUGCCGCUGGAAACUGCCUGACUUGAGUCCGGUAGGGGCGAGUGGAAUUCCUGGUGUAGCGGUGAAAUGCGCAGAUAUCAGGAGGAACACCAAUGGCGAAGGCAGCUCGCUGGAACGGUACUGACGCUGAGGCGCGAAAGCGUGGGGAGCGAACAGG